rnacentral:rRNA from 1 species
CCUUUGGGAGGGGAACCCCGGGAACUGGGGAAAUACCCCAUAGACUAUGAAUGCUGGAAUGCUUUGUAGUUGAAAGGUCAGCCGCCAUAGGAUGGGUCUGCGGCCGAUUAGGUUGUUGUUGGGGUAACGGCCCAACAAGCCUGUAAUCGGUACGGGUUGUGGGAGCAAGAGCCCGGAGAUGGAUUCUGAGACACGAAUCCAGGCCCUACGGGGCGCAGCAGGCGCGAAAACUUUACAAUGCGGGAAACCGUGAUAAGGGAACUCCGAGUGCCCGUAAAAUCGGGCUGUCCAUCUGUUUAAAUAACAGGUGAAGAAAGGGCCGGGCAAGACCGGUGCCAGCCGCCGCGGUAAUACCGGCGGCUCGAGUGGUGGCCACUAUUACUGGGCUUAAAGCGUUCGUAGCUGGUCUGUUAAGUCUCUGGGGAAAUCUACUGGCUUAACCAAUAGGCGUUUCAGGGAUACUGGCAGACUAGGGACCGGGAGAGGUGAGAGGUACUCCAGGGGUAGGAGUGAAAUCCUGUAAUCCUUGGGGGACCACCUGUGGCGAAGGCGUCUCACCAGAACGGCUCCGACAGUGAGGGACGAAAGCUGGGGGAGCAAACCGGAUUAGAUACCCGGGUAGUCCCAGCUGUAAACGAUGCGCGUUAGGUGUAUCGGUGACCACGAGUCAUCGAGGUGCCGAAGAGAAAUCGUGAAACGUGCCGCCUGGGAAGUUCGGUCGCAAGGCUGAAACUUAAAGGAAUUGGCGGGGGAGCAC